GGCGCACGGGUGCGCAACGCGUAUAGAACCUACCCUGUACAGGGGGAUAGCCCAGAGAAAUUUGGAUUAAUACCCCGUGGUAAAUAUGAAUGGCAUCAUUUAUAUUUUAAAGUUUUCGGACGGUACGGGAUGGCUAUGCGUCCUAUUAGUUAGAUGGUGAGGUAACGGCUCACCAUGGCAGCGAUAGGUAGGGGCCCUGAGAGGGGGAUCCCCCACACUGGUACUGAGACGCGGACCAG
rnacentral:rRNA from 1 species